rnacentral:rRNA from 1 species
UACGUAGGGACCAAGCGUUGUUCGGAUUUACUGGGCGUAAAGGGCGCGUAGGCGGCAUGACAAGUCACUUGUGAAAUCUCCGGGCUUAACUCGGAACGGUCAAGUGAUACUGUCGCGCUAGAGUGCGGAAGGGGCAAUCAGAAUUCUUGGUGUAGCGGUGAAAUGCGUAGAUAUCAAGAGGAAUACCUGAGGUGAAGACGGGUUGCUAGGCCGAACACUGACGCUGAAGCGACGAAAGCCAGGGGAGCAAACGGG